CGUCACCAGCAACGUAGUGCACGUCAGUACCAGAGGGAGCUUUUGCGACGACCUGUGGGAGAUCCAGCACGGUGCACUUCAAAUCCGGGAACGCCGCUGCUAUGGUCGCAGCGGCCCCGCCAAGGCCGCCGGCGACAUCGACGAGGGAGGUUAGCCCACGGAAGACCUCGGCGCACUCCCUGAGGACGAUCGGCAUCAGGAAGGCGGUGUCCGCGGCCAUGGCGUCGUUGAACCGGAACGCGGCGGCGUCAUGUUCCGCUCUCUCCCAGACCGUCUGGCCGCCGUACGCCAUGGCGAACGGGGACAGACCCGGCUGCUGCUGGUCGCCCUGCUGCCGGAACCACUUGCGCAUGCCCAUGCUAACCGGAGAAUCUCGGACCGGCCCGAGCAAGAGCUGCACGGUCAGGAAAUGAGGCAGUUGGCCCGUCGCCGUCGAGCUCUUGUCCCUGACGAGGAGGCGGGAGGCCGCUGUCAGCUUGUAGACCGCGGCGUCGUGCCUGCUUUCUGCCGCCGCCGCCGCCGCCGCCUCGUCCGGGUGCUGGACGAUGAAGAUGCCCGAAACGGUGAGCACGCGCAUGACGCGGCGCAUGUCGCGGAGCCUGCACGGGCUGAUCCCGGCCUCGGCGAGUAUCUGGGGCAGGGUGGCGGCGCCGCCGAGGCGGUGGACGGCGUCGGCGAUGCGGAGGUCCAAGGCGAUGGCGAGCGCGGCGGACUUGAAGAAGCCGAGGGACUGGUGCCAGAGCUGGAGCUCGGCCUGGAGCAGCUCCUGGCUGCUGUACUCGGCGAGCAAUGCCAUUACUGCCCCGAUCGACCAAUCAGUCGAUCUUGAUGGCUAAUUCUUCCUUGUUCAGGGGUUGCUGAGCUUUGGGUGGAGCCAUACACGCAUCGGGUACUUAUAGUUGCAUGGCAGCUUGGUUAAGUAUUCUACCCCCAACGAACAUGAGCAUUAUUCUACAAGCUCUCAUUGGCUGUAUAUGCAAGCAUGUGCAGCCCUGGAAAUCAAGACGAUAUCCCAGCCGGUGCCCAGUUGACUUUGAAAGGAGGAACGAGUCAUGAGAGAUUUUUUGAAAAUAGAAUGAUAGGCUGCUUCUGCAUAUGUACUUAUAUACCAAUGAAAACUAAUUGUAUAUAUAGGGAAUUUUGAAGCACUUAGUCAACUACUAGCUGCAGUAGCUUGAAUGGUCGCAUUACAUACGCACACGGCAGCUACUUAGUUUAGGCUGCUAGGUGACCGCGAGCGGAAGCUUACGUUGCCUUGGUCAGAAUUCGAGCUAUAUAGAGAGGAGAGGCUGCGCGGCUGCGCCAAGGUAUCAAUCAAUCUUAUCCUUGACCGUGAUGGCUGAAGAAGUCUUCCAUGUCUGCGCCUCCAAAGUACUAAACAAGAGCACCAGGAAUUCAGGAUCUCAUGACUGCUCAUCACUUUUGUUUUUUUAUAACUAUCUGCUCAACGAUCACUUUUGGAGUUUUUGGACAGCUACCAUGCUAGUUGAAACCACGCACCUUCAUGUUGCCGUCACAAGACUACCGUUUCAAUAUGUCCAAGUUAACAGUGGACUGAUCAGUUGCAAUCUGCAAGCGAACCAUCUUCACUGACAAUAGCUAUCAUGGAUGCACAUGUAUAUCAAGCAUAAGUACUUGCAAACCAAUCAUUGAGUCUUUCACCGUUGCACGGUUUUGUUUUUAAAAGUAUGUUUGCAACUAGUCACUUCUGAAGGUAUUUGCAAUUGCAAAAAUAGUUUCUAACGUCUAUUACCGAAAAAAUUGUCCUUUUGCAUCUUAGUUUUUAAUUAUGUUGAGUUUGACAAUGAAAUUUUAUGGAUGCAUAUAUCAUGCUCAUCCCCAUCUAUAGUAAAAUUUAUAAAAUAUUCUCAAACCUUUUAAGUAGAGUGAAAAUUAAAUCCACAUUCUUGUGUCGUUUACACCACCUAUAUACUUCACCCAAGAAUGCAAUCAAAUAUGCUCACCCACCUACUGCUAGAUGUGCCUCUUCAAUAUUCAACUUAUUUUUCAUGGCUGUCCUCUCCUUAUGUCGACUGCUUCCGACGCUGCAUUGUGCACCACCGUAGUCGCUGUGCUUCCUUCGUCUCCGGUGACGAUGACAAUGCCUGCUUUGCCGCCACCAUUUUUCAGCGUGGUGGUUGUCCGAUUUCGAGUGAGAAGCAGUGUACAUCUCUAAGGCAGAUUCAUUUUUCACCGAUCCUCCAUCUGAGAAGAAGAGGAAAAGGAAGAGGAGGAGGAAGAGGAAGGAGAAGCAAGAUGACGUUGCUGCCAGAAAGCCUGAUGACAUGGAUUUGAACAUAAAUGACGACGACAUGGUAGAUUAGCAAACACAGUGGAAUAAAAACUAGACUCAAGUAUGUGCCCUUCAUGUAUACUUUGAGCAAAGCACUAUACAUGUGCAAACUUUUUUCCAGGUCUAAGUAGGCAAGCACCAAAGUAAUAAAACAGGUUUUACUCCUUUUGUAGGGUCAGAUGCCCGAAUAUGAAUCCCCCACAUAUGUAUAGGGCCACUUAUUGGACACUAUGCAUCUUAACAAUAAUUCAGAACCAGUAUAUAUAUAAUUUUGUGAUGUCUUAUUCUUUGGAUGGUGUUCUGUUCACCAAGCUUUCAAGGAUAGAGCUCGAUAACAGAUCGAACACCGAGAACAGGUAUAAUUUUGUAGUCCUUGAAUCCAGCCUCGAAGAAAAUCUUCUUCCACUCUUGCUCAUCUCGUUCAACUCCAUUGAUGUUCAUGAUUAAGAGGUCAUACAAAACUUGUGUCUCUGCAUGCUUGAUAUCAUCUGACGGCCCAGAUCCGACCACCAUAUCUAUUAUUAUUAUCUUUCCUCCAGCAUCUCGUGGAGAUAUAACUUGUUUGCAGUUCUUCAGUAUCUUGACACACUCGUCAUCGCGCCAAUCAUGCAAAAUCCACUGGAAAAAACAAGCAAUCAUGCAUCAAUUUUCAAUCCAUACAUAAAUUAAACAUACAAUAGCUUAGGGCAUUUGCUGGUUGCUGUCACUAAUGUGCAUUCGAAACAUUUGGGUACUGGGAUGUACCUUGAGGAACACAGCGUUCGCCGGUGGAAUACUCUCAAACAUGUCACCAGCAACGUAGUGCACGUCAGUACCAGAGGGAGCUUGUGCGACGACCUGUGGGAGAUCCAGCACGGUGCACUUCAAAUCCGGGAACGCCGCUGCUAUGGUCGCAGCGGCCCCGCCAAGGCCGCCGGCGACAUCGACGAGGGAGGUUAGCCCACGGAAGACCUCGGCGCACUCCCUGAGGACGAUCGGCAUCAGGAAGGCGGUGUCCGCGGCCAUGGCUUCGUUGAACCGGAACGCCUCGGCGUCACCCUCCGCUCUCUCCCAGACAGACUGGCCGCCGUACGCCAUGGAGAACGGGGACAGACCCGGCUGCUGCAGGUCACCCUGCUGCCGGAACCACUUGCGCAUGCCCAUGCUGACCGGAGAAUCUCGGACCGGCCAGAGCAAGAGCUGCACGGUCAGGAAAUGAGGCAGCUGGCCCGUCGCCGUCGAGCUCUUGUCCCUGACGAGGAGGCGGGAGGCCGCCGUCAGCUUGUAGACCGCGGCGUCGUGCCUGCUUUCUGCCGCCGCCGCCGCCUCGUCCGGGUACUGGACGAUGAAGAUGCCCGAAACGGUGAGCACGCGCAUGACGCGGCGCAUGUCGCGGAGCCUGCACGGGCUGAUGCCGGCCUCGGCGAGUAUCUGGGGCAGGGUGGCGGAGCCGCCGAGGCGGUGGACGGCGUCGGCGAUGCCGAGGUCCAAGGCGAUGGCGAGCGCGGCGGACUUGAAGAAGCCGAGGGACUGAUGCCAGAGCUGGAGCUCGGCCUGGAGCAGCUCCUGGCUGCUGUACUCGGCGAGCAAUGCCAUUACUGCCCCGAUCGACCAAUCAGUCGAUCUUGAUGGCUGGUUCUUUCUUGUUCAGGGGUUGCUGAGCUUUGGGUGGAGCCAUACACGCAUCGGGUACUUAUAGUUGCAUGGCAGCUUGGUUAAGAGGGUGUUUGGGAGAAGGGGGUUAAACUUUAGCCUUGUCACAUCGGAUGUUCGGAUACUAAUUAGGAGGACUAAAUAUAAGCUAAUUACAAAACUAAUUGCAGAACCCCUAAGCUAAAUCGCAAGACGAAUCUAUUAACCCUAACUAAUUAGGCUUAAUAGAUUCGUCUCGCGAUUUAACCUAGGGGUUGUGUAAUUAGUUUUGUAAUUAGUCUAGGUUUAAUACUCCUAACUAGUGUCCAAACAUUCGAUGUGACGGGAGCUAAAAUUUAGCCCCCUCCUCCCAAACACCUACCCCCAACGAACAUGAGCAUUAUUCUACAAGCUCUCAUUGGCUGUAUAUGCAAGCAUGUGCAGCCUUGGAAAUCAAGACGAUAUCCCAGCCGGUGCCCAGUUGACUUUGAAAGGAGGAACGAGUCAUGAGAGAUUUUUUGAAAAUAGAAUGAUAGGCUGCUUCUGCAUAUGUACUUAUAUACCAAUGAAAACUAAUUGUAUAUAUAGGGAAUUUUGAAGCACUUAGUCAACUACUAGCUGCAGUAGCUUGAAUGGUCGCAUUACAUAUGCACACGGCAGCUACUUACCCCUUGUUUACUUUCCAAUUUGGGAUAGGCAAAAUUGACAUUUUGCCAUAAAUGCGUAACUGUAGCGUUUCGUUUGUAUUUGUGAAUUAUUGUCUAAAUAUUGACUAAUUAGGCUCAAAAGAUUCGUCUCGCAAAGUACAACGAAAUUGUGUAAUUAGUUUUUGAUUUCGUCUACAUUUAGUACUCCAUGCAUGUACCGCAAGUUUGAUGUGAUGGUGAAUCUUCUUUUUGCAUAGUGUCAAAGUUGGGUGUUUGGGAGAAGGGGGCUAAACUUUAGCCUUGUCACAUCGGAUGUUCGGAUACUAAUUAGGAGGACUAAACAUAAGCUAAUUACAAAACUAAUUGCAGAACCCCUAGGCUAAAUCGCGAGACGAAUCUAUUAAGCCUAAUUAAUCCAUCAUUAGUGAAUGGUUACUGUAGCACCGCAUUGUCAAAUCAUGGACUAAUUAGGCUUAAUAGAUUCGUCUCGCGAUUUAGCCUAGGGGUUGUGUAAUUAGUCUAGGUUUAAUACUCCUAACUAGUGUCCAAACAUUCGAUGUGACGGGGGUUAAAAUUUAGCCCCCUCCUCCCAAACACCUACCCCAACGAACAUGAGCAUUAUUCUACAAGCUCUCAUUGGCUGUAUAUGCAAGCAUGUGCAGCCCUGGAAAUCAAGACGAUAUCCCAGCCGGUGCCCAGUUGACUUUGAAAGGAGGAACGAGUCAUGAGAGAUUUUUUGAAAAUAGAAUGAUAGGCUGCUUCUGCAUAUGUACUUAUAUACCAAUGAAAACUAAUUGUAUAUAUAGGGAAUUUUGAAGCACUUAGUCAACUCCUAGCUGCAGUAGCUUGAAUGGUCGUAUUACAUACGCACACGGCAGCUACUUACCCCUCGUUUACUUCCCAAUUUGGGAUAGGCAAAAUUGACAUUUUGUCAUAAAUGCGCAACUGUAGCGUUUCGUUUGUAUUUGUGAAUUAUUGUCUAAAUAUUGACUAAUUAGGCUCAAAAGAUUCGUCUCGCAAAGUACAACGAAAUUGUGUAAUUAGUUUUUGAUUUCGUCUACAUUUAGUACUCCAUGCAUGUACCGCAAGUUUAAUGUGAUGAAGAAUCUUCUUUUUGCAUAGUGUCAAAGUUGGGAGUUUGGAGGGAAGUAAACAAGGGGUUAGUUUAGGCUGCUAGGUGACCGCGAGCGGAAGCUUACGUUGCCUUGGUCAGAAUUCGAGCUAUAUAGAGAGGAGAGGCUGCGCGCUGCGCCAAGGUAUCAAUCAAUCUUAUCCUUGACCGUGAUGGCUGAAGAAGUCUUCCAUGUCUGCGCCUGCAAACUACUAAACAAAUCUUUAUCCUUGGUCAGAAUUCGAGCUGUAUAGAGAGGAGAGGCUGCGCGUAGAUCUCUAUCAUGAAUGCACAUGUAUAUCAAGCAUAAGUACUUGCAAACCAAUCAUUGAGUCUUUCACCGUUGCACGGUUUUGUUUUUAAAAGUAUGUUUGCAACUAGUCACUUCUGAAGGUAUUUGCAAUUGCAAAAAUAGUUUCUAACGUCUAUUACCGAAAAAAUUGUCCUUUUGCAUCUUAGUUUUUAAUUAUGUUGAGUUUGACAAUGAAAUUUUAUGGAUGCAUAUAUCAUGCUCAUCCCCAUCUAUAGUAAAAUUUAUAAAAUAUUCUCAAACCUUUUAAGUAGAGUGAAAAUUAAAUCCACAUUCUUGUGUCGUUUACACCACCUAUAUACUUCACCCAAGAAUGCAAUCAAAUAUGCUCACCCACCUACUGCUAGAUGUGCCUCUUCAAUAUUCAACUUAUUUUUCAUGGCUGUCCUCUCCUUAUGUCGACUGCUUCCGACGCUGCAUUGUGCACCACCGUAGUCGCUGUGCUUCCUUCGUCUCCGGUGACGAUGACAAUGCCUGCUUUGCCGCCACCAUUUUUCAGCGUGGUGGUUGUCCGAUUUCGAGUGAGAAGCAGUGUACAUCUCUAAGGCAGAUUCAUUUUUCACCGAUCCUCCAUCUGAGAAGAAGAGGAAAAGGAAGAGGAGGAGGAAGAGGAAGGAGAAGCAAGAUGACGUUGCUGCCAGAAAGCCUGAUGACAUGGAUUUGAACAUAAAUGACGACGACAUGGUAGAUUAGCAAACACAGUGGAAUAAAAACUAGACUCAAGUAUGUGCCCUUCAUGUAUACUUUGAGCAAAGCACUAUACAUGUGCAAACUUUUUUCCAGGUCUAAGUAGGCAAGCACCAAAGUAAUAAAACAGGUUUUACUCCUUUUGUAGGGUCAGAUGCCCGAAUAUGAAUCCCCCACAUAUGUAUAGGGCCACUUAUUGGACACUAUGCAUCUUAACAAUAAUUCAGAACCAGUAUAUAUAUAAUUUUGUGAUGUCUUAUUCUUUGGAUGGUGUUCUGUUCACCAAGCUUUCAAGGAUAGAGCUCGAUAACAGAUCGAACACCGAGAACAGGUAUAAUUUUGUAGUCCUUGAAUCCAGCCUCGAAGAAAAUCUUCUUCCACUCUUGCUCAUCUCGUUCAACUCCAUUGAUGUUCAUGAUUAAGAGGUCAUACAAAACUUGUGUCUCUGCAUGCUUGAUAUCAUCUGACGGCCCAGAUCCGACCACCAUAUCUAUUAUUAUUAUCUUUCCUCCAGCAUCUCGUGGAGAUAUAGCUUGUUUGCAGUUCUUCAAUAUCUUGACACACUCGUCAUCGCGCCAAUCAUGCAAAAUCCACUGAAAAAAACAAGCAAUCAUGCAUCAAUUUUCAAUCCAUACAUAAAUUAAACAUACAAUAGCUUAGGGCAUUUGCUGGUUGCUGUCAGUAAUGUGCAUUCGAAACAUUUGGGUAUUGGGAUGUACCUUGAGGAACACAGCGUUCGCCGGUGGAAUACUCUCAAACACGUCACCAGCAACGUAGUGCACGUCAGUACCAGAGGGAGCUUUUGCGACGACCUGUGGGAGAUCCAGCACGGUGCACUUCAAAUCCGGGAACGCCGCUGCUAUGGUCGCAGCGGCCCCGCCAAGGCCGCCGGCGACAUCGACGAGGGAGGUUAGCCCACGGAAGACCUCGGCGCACUCCCUGAGGACGAUCGGCAUCAGGAAGGCGGUGUCCGCGGCCAUGGCGUCGUUGAACCGGAACGCGGCGGCGUCAUGUUCCGCUCUCUCCCAGACCGUCUGGCCGCCGUACGCCAUGGCGAAC
rnacentral:lncRNA from 1 species